rnacentral:rRNA from 1 species
GUGGGGAAUCUUCCACAAUGGACGAAAGUCUGAUGGAGCAACGCCGCGUGAGUGAAGAAGGGUUUCGGCUCGUAAAGCUCUGUUGUCGGGGACGAAUGUGCAGUAUUUGAAUAAAGUAGUGCAAUGACGGUACCUGACGAGGAAGCCACGGCUAACUACGUGCCAGCAGCCGCGGUAAUACGUAGGUGGCAAGCGUUGUCCGGAAUUAUUGGGCGUAAAGGGAGCGCAGGCGGGAAGGUAAGUCGGUCUUAAAAGUGCGGGGCUCAACCCCGUGAUGGGAUCGAAACUAUCUUUCUUGAGUGCAGGAGAGGAAAGUGGAAUUCCUAGUGUAGCGGUGAAAUGCGUAGAUAUUAGGAGGAACACCAGUGGCGAAGGCGACUUUCUGGACGAAAACUGACGCUGAGGCGCGAAAGCCAGGGGAGCGAACGGGAUUAGAAACCCUUGUAGUCC